rnacentral:misc_RNA from 1 species
AAUUGCUUCUUGUCUGGGAUUUUUCCCUUUUCUUUGUAUGGUUUAACGAGCACACGAGAAUCACACACAAAAUGAGGGUUGCCUUUGGCCAAAAUUUGCUUCACAGUUUCGGGGUAGAUGAAUGUAACAAAUCCAAACAUCCGCUUCUGCUGAUACGGAAUUCUAACAUCUUGCACUGGCCCGUACAUACUAAAGUAAUUAGACACAUCCUCCUCCUUGAAUGUACUAUCAGCAGGAAAUGUCAAGUAAAUUUGUCUCAAGCAAGAACUCGAAUUUCCAACCAGCGCCAUUGCUGAAAAUUCAUUUCUGUCGGGUAAGGAUCGACCGUGUUUGUGGAACUCAUCACUCAUCAUUAAUGCUGCCGCAGCCGAUCUUUGAUUAUCAUUGUAAACACUCAUGCAUCUGUUGAAACCAAAAGGAUGACGACCUCCAGAAGCCAUAAACUGAGAAGCAGCAGCAAAUCUCUG